rnacentral:rRNA from 1 species
GGCGGACGGGUGAGUAACGCGUAAGGAACUUGCCUCUUGGUCUGGGACAACUGUUGGAAACGACAGCUAAUACCGGAUAUUAUGAGAUUCUCGCAUGGGAAACUUAUGAAAGCUAUAUGCGCCAAGAGAGAGCCUUGCGUUCCAUUAGCUAGUUGGUGGGGUAACGGCCCACCAAGGCGACGAUGGAUAGCCGGCCUGAGAGGGUGAACGGCCACAAGGGGACUGAGACACGGCCCUUACUCCUACGGGAGGCAGCAGUGGGGAAUAUUGGACAAUGGGCCACAAGCCUGAUCCAGCAAUUCUGUGUGCACGAUGAAGGUCUUCGGAUUGUAAAGUGCUUUCAGUUGGGAAGAAGAAAGUGACGGUACCAACAGAAGAAGCGACGGCUAAAUACGUGCCAGCAGCCGCGGUAAUACGUAUGUCGCAAGCGUUAUCCGGAUUUAUUGGGCGUAAAGCGCGUCUAGGCGGAAAAAUAAGUCUGAUGUUAAAAUGCGGGGCUCAACUCCGUAUUGCGUUGGAAACUGUUUUUCUAGAGUACUGGAGAGGUGGGCGGAACUACAAGUGUAGAGGUGAAAUUCGUAGAUAUUUGUAGGA